rnacentral:miRNA from 1 species
AGGUCUACCUCUGCUUAAGUUAA